rnacentral:rRNA from 1 species
UACGAAGGGGGCUAGCGUUGUUCGGAAUUACUGGGCGUAAAGCGCACGUAGGCGGAUAAUUAAGUCAGGGGUGAAAUCCCGGGGCUCAACCCCGGAACUGCCUUUGAUACUGGCUAUCUGGAGUCCGGAAGAGGUGAGUGGAAUUCCGAGUGUAGAGGUGAAAUUCGUAGAUAUUCGGAGGAACACCAGUGGCGAAGGCGGCUCACUGGUCCGGUACUGACGCUGAGGUGCGAAAGCGUGGGGAGCAAACAGG